GAUGAAGAACGCAGCGAAAUGCGAUACGUAAUGUGAAUUGCAGAAUUCAGUGAAUCAUCGAAUCUUUGAACGCACAUUGCGCCCGCCAGUAUUCUGGCGGGCAUGCCUGUUCGAGCGUCAUUUCAACCCUCAAGACCCCUUCGGGGGACUUGGUGUUGGGGACCGGCUGUUCCCGGCCUGCUUCUUGCAGCGCCUCUAUGCCGCCCCCGAAAUGAAUUGGCGGCCUCGUCGCGGCCUCCCCUGCGUAGUAGCACAACCUCGCAACGGGAACGUGACGGCGGCCACUGCCGUAAAACAACCCCAAUUUUAUUAGAGUUGACCUCGAAUCAGGUAGGAAUACCCGCUGAACUUAAGCAUAUCAAUAAGCGGAGGA
rnacentral:misc_RNA from 1 species